UACGGAGGGUGCAAGCGUUAAUCGGAAUUACUGGGCGUAAAGCGUGCGCAGGCGGUUUGUUAAGUCUGCUGUGAAAUCCCCGAGCUCAACUUGUGAAUUGCAGUGGAUACUGGCAGGCUGGAGUAUGGUAGAGGAAGGUGGAAUUCCCGGUGUAGCAGUGAAAUGCGUAGAGAUCGGGAGGAACACCAGUGGCGAAGGCGACUACCUGGCCUGUUCUUGACGCUGAGGCGCGAAAGCUAGGGGAGCAAACGGG
rnacentral:rRNA from 1 species